CAAAAUUAUCCCAAAGCUUCAGGCUUCAAAUAACAGUAAUCGUUUACUACAUCUCAUAGUUGCUGUGGGUCCGGAACUUGGGAGUAACUCGAAUAGGAGGAUCUGGGUCCAGGUCUUUCACGAGGUUGCAGUCAGAUGCUGGUCAAUGUGGAAAUCCUCUGAAGGCUUGGCCGGAGCUGGAGAUCCAUUUCUAGGAUGGCUCGCUCGCAUCUGACAAGAGAGGAUCCAAAGUGACAGAUCCCAGGCAAGAGGUCAAAAAAGUCUGGAGGAUCGUGACAGCACCGUGUUUCACUCCCUCCAGUGGGUGGAUUUAACAACCUGCACUGGAGCUUCCUGACUCUCGUGCUGGGGAAUUUGAGGAGAAGGAGAAUCUAAGUGCACUAUGUAAUAGAAAGAUAAAGAACUCCAAGCUUGCCUGUUGUCCUUGGAUUAUUGCCCCUGGUAUUCACCUCUGGAAGGGCCAACCCUUUGUCUCCCUAUCUGCAUCAGCAAAAUCUUCCUGGAAUGUCAUUUGGGUUAUUUGAUCCAGUAGUAAAAUCCACAAUCUCUCCUGGCAAAUCAGCAAGUACUUAUUAAGCAUCUACUGUGUACCCAAGAGCAAAUCCUAGGAUCAUUUGAGACCAGUGUAGAUGGAUACGCCAAAAAUGGCCAGGCAUGACCAAAAUAGAUUGUUGUCAAACCCACCUGUCUUGAGGCUUCAAAGGCAAGAACUGAAAAGGACUUUUUUUUUUUUUUUUUGAGCUAGCAUUUAGAGUCGGUACUGCCCAAAGAAUGCUUUCAGAAUGUUUUUCAUUUAGAAAAUUCCUGAGGACUUGAAACACAAAGAAAGAUCAAGGAACCAUUCUAGAGGGGCGCCUGGGUGGCUCAGCCGUUAAGCGCCUGCCUUCGACUCAGGUCAUGAUCCCAGGGUCCUAGGAUCAAGCCCCGCAUCGGACUCCCUGCUCUGCGGGAGGCCUGCUUCUCCCUCUCCCACUCCCCCUGCUUGUGUUCCCUCUCUCUCUCUGUCAAAUAAAUAAAUAAAAUCUUAAAAAAAAAAAAAAGGAAUCAUUCUAGAGACUUUUAGUUAACGGACAACAAAA